rnacentral:rRNA from 1 species
UUCCGGUUGAUCCUGCCGGAGGCUACCGCUAUUGGAGUUCGAUUAAGCCAUGCGAGUCGAGAGUCUUAGGGACUCGGCGUACCGCUCAGUAACACGUGGGUAACCUGCCCUAUGCUGGGGAAUAACCUCGGGAAACUGAGAAUAAUACCCCAUAGUUCACCACGCCUGGAACGGUGGGUGGAUGAAAGCUCCGGCGGCAUAGGAUGGGCCUGCGACGUAUCAGGUUGUAGGGGGUGUAACGUACCCUCUAGCCAUCAACGCGUACGGGUGUUGGGAGACAUAGCCCGGAGAUGGAUUCUGAGACACGAAUCCAGACCCUACGGGGUGCAGCAGGCGCGAAAACUUGGCAAUGCGAGCAAUCGUGACCAGGGAACUCCAAGUGGCUGGGGUAAUACCCAGUUUUUUCUUGACUCUUCAAAGGUCUUGGAAUAAGGGGUGGGUAAGGACGGUGCCAGCCGCCGCGGUAAUACCGGCGCCUCAAGUGGUAGUCGCUUUUAUUGGGCCUAAAACGUCCGUAGCCGGUCUGGUGCAUUCGUGGGUAAAUCAACCCGCUCAACGGGUUGAAUUCUGCGAGCACGGCCAGACUUGGGACCGGGAGAGGUGUGGGGUACUCUCAGGGUAGGGGUAAAAUCCUGUCAUCCUGAGAGGACCACCUGUUGCGAAGGCGCCACACUAGAACGGAUUCGACGGUCA